CGUGGGUAACCUGCCCAAGAGAUCGGGAUAACACCUGGAAACAGAUGCUAAUACCGGAUAACAACAGAUGAUGCCUAUCAACUGUUUAAAAGAUGGUUCUGCUAUCACUCUUGGAUGGACCUGCGGUGCAUUAGCUAGUUGGUAGGGUAACGGCCUACCAAGGCAACGAUGCGUAGCCGACCUGAGAGGGUGAUCGGCCACACUGGAACUGAGACACGGUCCAGACUCCUACGGGAGGCAGCAGCU
rnacentral:rRNA from 1 species